AUGGUAUUCAUAUCAAAUUUAUUUUUAAUGUUUUUGACAAAAUUAUUGAUUUCUAUUGUGUGUAUAGUGUAUGAUGAAUGUGUGGGCACAUACAUAUUAUGGCACAUGUGUGAGAUCAGGACAGUUUUGUGGAAUUGGAUCUUUUUACCUUUGCAUGAGCUCAGGGACUUGGACUCAGGUCUUUAGGUUUAUGUGCUAAGUGCUUUUGUGUGUGUGUGUGUGUGUGUGUGUGUGUGUGUGUGUGUGUGUGUGUGUGUGUCUGAGCCAUGUUGCCAGCCCUCACAUAGCUUUCUAGAAGUAUAGUUUUAGGAAUAAACAUGGAACAAUCUGCCCAGCCUAAGGCUUGACCAGGGACCCAUCUGCUGCUUCUACAUUGUCAUCAUUAGCCCCUAAGCCAACCUUCUCCAAAGACCUAGACACUCAGAUUUCUUUCUCAAUGAUUGAGCCACUGAAAUACUAGAUAAUCUGUGCUGUAGAGUGAAUGUUUAUGUCCUCCUGAAAUAUGUGUGUGGUAACAGGGACCACAUGGUGAUGUGAUUAUGAGCCUUUGGCAGAUUACCAAGUCACAGGUAUGUUUCCCUCAUGGAGUACUCAUGAGUGCGGUUUUGUCCUCAGAAAAGAGACUGGAGAGCUCCCCUGUUCCUUCUGCCAUGGGAACACAGCAAGAAGAUUGUAGUCUGGGAAUGGACAUUUGUGGACCUCAGCAAACACCUAACCUGACACCCUGACUUAGUAUUACCAGUGUUUCUGUGCUGGAAAUUUAUUUGACUUUUUUUAUAAUGACAGACAAUCUAUGUUGGGUUCCUGAGGUGGAAACAUGCAUGUGCCAUGCACCAUCUGCACAGCAGUCUAUAAUGAUGUGUAGACGGCAGCUUUAUGAGAGCAAAGACCAAUGCCCACAUGGUCUUGUAGAAGUGGGGCAAUACCCUUUGUCUCCAAUUUCUUAUUUCUAGCUCUAUUCCUUCUAGUAGCUUUCCUGAUAAAGUGGAAGAUGCUAUUUCUCUAUAAUUAUAUUUUUCUUACUGCUAUCUUCUGUCAGCUAUUUUUCAUUUAAAUUAAAGAGCAUUCUAUCUUCAACCAUAUAUUCUGAACUUAAAAGAAAAGUAAAUUUAAGAAACUAGCAUGAGUCAAAUACCUUUUCAUUACAAAGAACACCUUCCCCAAUAAGGAACUAAUAGAACACUCAAAUUAUGUGUUCCCUAGUAUUAUGUUAUGAGUCUGAAGCAUUAAAGAGAAGCAUUUUGUUUUCCAAAGCAUAUUCUGUAUUUUACAAGCACUAGUUAGUGGUACUUAUAAAAUACAACCGAGCCAGCUUGUUACAAGAAGUUCAUGAUGUCAAAGAGAAGCCAAAUCACUUUUUUUAAAUGUUCAAAUCCAGAGGCUUUAUUUAGCAUUCAUGUUCUUUCCGUUUCUGUAGACUUCGGCACUGCUUACAAUUAAUUUCAAUCAUUAAUUUAUAAGUGCUACUGAGAGAUAGAGUUUUAAACUAGCUCAAAACUCAGCAACAGGAUCUGACUCAGGAAGACAGAUGGUUCAAAGUGCAGGAGGGCUGGUCCAUACUCACUGACCCUCCGGAUGUCACUGGAAGUGAGUAAAUGAGUAAUGGGUUCUGUUCUGCCCCUGUGAUAUUUGUUGAAGCCCCCAUUGUGUCCUGCAGAUAGUAUUCCAGGCAACCGGGGCCGAAGCCUAGCCAGAUGUGUAUCAGAUGCAGAUGCUUCGUCAACUCUGACAAACAUUUACCCUAAAGGACAGGAAUCAAGAUCUGUUCUCAGGAGAAUGAGGGCUUGAUCUUUCCCCUGAUUUAAACCCUAGAGCCUUAAGAACAAUCCUGUGACUUUGAGAGUUUCCCCUUGUGACAUUUUUGGUAUUUUCUUUUGACGUCCCCUCAUCUCCUGGGGCUUGUGACUUCUUCCUUUAAAUAGCCCUUCUCCCAGCCACUCAGGGUCAACGCCUCUGUCUCCUGCGUGGGAUAAAUGUAGACUGGGAGCUCCAUAUUAAACCUCGCCUCUGCUUAUUGCAUCAAGAUUGGUCUCUCGUGUGUCUGGGUUCUGCGACUUCUGGAGACUUGAGUGGGGGUCUCCUUUCCAGGAUGUUUCAUUUGGGGGUUCAUCCGGUAUCUUCUCGACCUCCCCAGACCCCAAGGAGACACGGGACAUUGGAAGAAGAAAGAUUCCCUUUUCACCUGCGUGAACAGUAUAACAUCUGCUCCUUCUACUGAAUACCCUGGAAACAACGAGCCUCCUGGGACUGACCAAGUACAAGAUUCUUGGAUUUCCAACUCAUAGCUGACCAACAUUUAGAGCUGGACUACAGACUUAACAGAAAAAAGAUUUGCACGUGAAGCAUGGCUUCUGCCUUCAGACUAGAACGGGAGGAACAGUUUACUGUGUAGCCUGCACAGUGAAACAGGAUAGGCAAUAACUAGACCACAGACUAAAUGUAAGGGAGUCAUCUGCAGAGCCACCACUAUGAAGAAAGACCUGAUUCAAGCAGGUAUUAUGCUUUCUCUUGUACACUUGGAUGGGAUAUUUUAGAAUGCAAUGACCUAUGAGGAUGUGCGUGUGAACUUCACUCAGGAAGAGUGGGCUUUGCUGGAUCCUUUUCAGAAGAGUCUCUCCAAAGAUGUGAUGUUGGAGACCUACAGGAACCUCACUGCUAUAGGUAACAAUUGGGAAGACCAUACUAUUGAAGAACAUUGUCAAAAUUCCAGAAAACAUGGAAGGUAAUUUUCAUGUGCAAGUUGAUAUGAAUAUGCCUCUGAAGAAAUUUUAAUGCGUUCUGGAAGUUUAAAAGAAAAGCAACAGUGUAAAAAAGUACUGCUUUAAGUAUAUCAGUGAUUAUUAAAUUCAAACAAAACCAUGUACCUCAAUGUCAGGUAUCUGAUUUUCGUUUCCAAGGCAUUCUUUUAAGAAAGAAACAGUGUCUUAACAGAUAUCACCUUGGGUAUCAUAGUCCCUUUAGAGCUUUGCUGAAGAACUGCCAAUCUGUUUAGUCUUAUACCACUCAUAUGGCAAAAGGUUAGUUACACUGAGUAGGUGAUAAAUAUAUGUCUAAAUCUUAUACUAUCCCAAUAGUCCAUGGUAAACCUAGGGUUCCUCAUAUACUUGUAGUAACAUUGCUAAGCUUAGUGAGAGGGGCAGUUUAUGAGUAUCAAGAAUUUUGAUGUCGAGAAAACUUAAUCCCUAUACCACAUGUGUAUGAGGAACAUAGUCUGAAUGCAAUGUGUUUUCCCAAUUUGUAUUUUAUUUGUUAUUCUUUUUUAAAACAGGUAUAUCUUAUGUCACAAUGGAUUCAAGCCGUAUGAGUAUAUGGAUAUUGAAAGAAACAAAGUACCUCUCUUUCUCUCCUAGAAAAAUUAGAAGAUAUAUAGUAGCCCCUACAUUUAGUAGACUUUCUGAGUAUGAUACAAGUUUACAGUCGGUUAGUUUUCCAACUUAAUUGGGAAUUCACCCAUAAAUUCACACUGCGAAAAAUCCCUGUUGGUACUAGGAAUCUGGAAAUUAUUCUAUUUGCACUGGUCCACUUUCGAAAUGUAGUAUGGUUCAUACUAAAGGAAAAUUUAUGAAUUCAAUUAGUGUGGCAAAGUUUUGAGUUAUUCCUUUUGCAAAUAUGUGAUAAACUUAAUAGAAAAAGGAUGCUCUAAAUGUAAGCUAUGUAAUAAAUGCUUUUAUCAUCACAGGUAUCUUCAAAGACACAAAACAACCCAAAAGGGGGGAACCAUGAAUGCAAAAAAGUGAUAAAACAUUAAGAUCUGAUUCCUCUUUACCAUUAAACCAAAUUGUAAAUUAAUUCAUACAGAUAAAAAGAUUCAUCAGUGUAAUGAAUGUGGUAAAGCUUUCACAUGUGCCAAUUAUCUUUGCAGGCAUAAAAGAAGUCAUACUGGAGAGAAAACCUUUGAAUAGACUCCAUGUCGUAAAGCCUUUGCAUAUCAGAGUCACCCUCAAAGUAAUGAAAAAAUUCAUACUGGAGAGAAACCCUAUAAAUGUAAUCAAUGUGGUCAAACCUUUGCACAUUACAGUCAUCUCCGAAUACAUAAAAGAACACAAACUGGAGAGAAACCCUAUGAAUGCAACCAACGUGGUAAAGCCUAUGCAUGAUACAGUCAUCUUCAAAUACAUAAAAGAACACAUACCGAGGUGAAACCCUUUGAAUAUAGCCAGUGUGGUAAAGCCUUUUAGUCACAAUCAUCUCCCAAUACAUAAAAGAACGCAUACUGGAGAGAAACCUUAUGAAUGUGGUCAAUGUGAUAAAGCCUUUUCAUAUUACAAUACUCUCCAAGUACAUAAGAGAACACAUACUGGAGAGAAACAUUAUGAAUAUAAUCAAUGUGUUAAAGCCUUUGUAUGUUACAGUCAUCUCCAAAUACAUAAAAGAUCACAUACUGGAGAGAAACCUUACAAAUGUAGUCAAUGUGAUAAAGCCUUCUCAUAUCACAAUAGUCUCCAAAUGCAUAAAAGGACACAUACAGGAGAGAAACCCUAGGGUUGCAAUCAAUGUGGUAAAGCCUUUGCAUGUCAUAGUCAUCUCCAAAUACAUAAAAGAACACAUACUGGAGAGAAACUCUAUGAAUGUAACCAAUGUGACAAGCCUUCGUACGACAUAUUAGUUUCCAAGUAAAUAAAAGGGCACACACUGGAGAGAAUCGCUAUGAAUGUCACCAAUGUGCUACAGCCUUUGCACAUCAAAGUCAUCUUCAAAGGCAUGAAAAAAUUCAUACUGAAGAGAAACCUCAUGAAUGUAUUUAAUAUGGUGAAGUCAUUGCACAUUUAUAUAGUCUUCAUGAUUAUAAAAGUGUCCAUACUGGUGAGAUUCUAUGCAUAUAAGCAAUGUGGUAGAACCUCUGUGUUAUGAGUCUACUUAGGACCAAUACAACUCCAAUACCUAGUUAAUGCAGAUGACAAGAACUUAUGUAAUCAAUCUGAUCAAUCAGGAUUGUGGAAUAUACUCAGGAGCUCACCUGCAACCCAUGUUAUGAAUCUUUUAAUUUCGAAAACCACAAACAUAUGUGACAAGUUACAGAUACUUUUUUCCACCACUCAGCAUUUAGGGAUAGGGGCUUUCUUUAAGUAAUUGCACAAUAUCAAUGGAUAUAGAAUAUAGGUUUUACCAUCUAACCAAUCAUAUCCAUUUGUUCUUUUGCCAUUAGGAAUAGUCAUGUUUUGUGAAAGAAAAGAUGAAUGACAGAAGCUGUUCAGCUAUUAGUAAUUCUCCAGCUCCCCUAGAACCUAGGAACUUUAACAUAGUUUCAUUCCAUGAUUAAAUAGAGUCCAACAACAAAAACGCAGUUCUUAAAACACAUUUCUUUUGCUUGUUCCCAAAAUUUGUAUAUCAUAGUUCUCUACAAAUACAUGAAAGAACACAUCCUGGAGAGAGACCCUAUGAAUAUAAGCAGUGUGAUAAAGCCUUUUCUGGCAGUGGCCAUGCAGGGACCAGAGUAUGCGUGUGUUUCACUGAUAGGAUUCUCCUGUGGCAAGACCCAUAGAAAUCUCUUCCCACUUAACAAAGACCUGGGGUGAAUUCAGUAGCCUCUUUGCUUAUAAUCUAGAUCAUGUGUGCUACAAGCUCUCCUUGCUUUUACUAUGCUAUUAAUACUCAAAAAUGUUUGUUUUCACCUUUCAAUCAUGGGCGAGGCUGGGUUCAUGUAGGCUGAAAGCUCUAUGAAUGAUUCUGUGUUUUUCUCAAUACUCUUUCAAGGAGUAAAGGCCUCCUCUCUUCUC